rnacentral:rRNA from 1 species
CGUACACUCCUGCGGGAGGCAGCAGUGGGGAAUAUUGGACAAUGGGCGCAAGCCUGAUCCAGCCAUGCCGCGUGAGUGAUGAAGGCCCUAGGGUUGUAAAGCUCUUUCACCGGUGAAGAUAAUGACGGUAACCGGAGAAGAAGCCCCGGCUAACUUCGUGCCAGCAGCCGCGGUAAUACGAAGGGGGCUAGCGUUGUUCGGAUUUACUGGGCGUAAAGCGCACGUAGGCGGACUAUUAAGUCAGGGGUGAAAUCCCGGGGCUCAACCCCGGAACUGCCUUUGAUACUGGUAGUCUUGAGUUCGAGAGAGGUGAGUGGAAUUCCGAGUGUAGAGGUGAAAUUCGUAGAUAUUCGGAGGAACACCAGUGGCGAAGGCGGCUCACUGGCUCGAUACUGACGCUGAGGUGCGAAAGCGUGGGGAGCAAACGGGAUUAGAAACCCUUGUAGUCCCAUGA